UACGUAGGGGGCAAGCGUUGUCCGGAAUCAUUGGGCGUAAAGGGCGUGUAGGCGGUCUGUUAAGUCUGAUGUGAAAGCCCGGGGCUCACCCCCGGAAGUGCAUUGGAUACUGGCGGACUCGAGUCCCGGAGAGGAGGGUGGAAUUCCUGGUGUAGCGGUGAAAUGCGUAGAUAUCAGGAGGAACACCGGUGGCGAAGGCGGCCCUCUGGACGGUGACUGACGCUGAGACGCGAAAGCGUGGGGAGCAAACAGG
rnacentral:rRNA from 1 species